AUUGAACGCUGGCGGUAGGCCUAACACGUGCAAGUCGAACGCGAAAGUCCUUCGGGAUGAGUAGAGUGGCGGACGGGUGAGUAACGCGUAGGAAUCUAUCCUGUAGUGGGGGAUAACGUUUCGAAAGGAACGCUAAUACCGCAUACGCCCCAAGGGGGAAAGCGGGGGAUCUUCGGACCUCGUGCUAUAGGAGGAGCCUGCGUCGGAUUAGCUAGUUGGUGAGGUAAAGGCUCACCAAGGCGACGAUCCGUAGCUGGUCUGAGAGGAUGAUCAGCCACACCGGAACUGAGACACGGUCCGGACUCCUACGGGAGGCAGCAGUGGGGAAUAUUGCGCAAUGGGCGAGAGCCUGACGCAGCCAUACCGCGUGUGUGAAGAAGGCCUUCGGGUUGUAAAGCACUUUCAGUGGGGAGGAAAAGCUGGUGGCUAAUAUCCAUCGGCCGUGACGCUACCCACAGAAGAAGCACCGGCUAAUUCCGUGCCAGCCGCCGCGGUAAGAC
rnacentral:rRNA from 1 species